rnacentral:rRNA from 1 species
UAGGGAAUCUUCCACAAUGGACGCAAGUCUGAUGGAGCAACGCCGCGUGAGUGAAGAAGGGUUUCGGCUCGUAAGCUCUGUUGUUAAAGAAGAACGUGGGUAAGAGUAACUGUUUACCCAGUGACGGUAUUUAACCGGAAAGCCACGGCUAACUACGUGCCAG